UGUAGGAGUGAGCCUGCUCGCGAUAGCGGUGUGUCAGAUGGCGCUGUGUUGGCUGACACACCGCUAUCGCGAGCAGGCUCACUCCUACA
rnacentral:antisense_RNA from 1 species